rnacentral:rRNA from 1 species
UACGAAGGGGCUAGCGUUGCUCGGAAUCACUGGGCGUAAAGCGCACGUAGGCGGAUUGCUAAGUCAGGGUGAAAUCCUGGAGCUCAACUCCAGAACUGCCUUUGAUACUGGCGAUCUUGAGUCCGGGAGAGGUGAGUGGAACUGCGAGUGUAGAGGUGAAAUUCGUAGAUAUUCGCAAGAACACCAGUGGCGAAGGCGGCUCACUGGCCCGGUACUGACGCUGAGACGCGAAAGCGUGGGGAGCGAACAGG